GAUGAACGCUGGCGGCGUGCUUAAUACAUGCAAGUCGAGCGAACAGACGCGGAGUUUGCUCCUCUCACGUUAGCGGCGGACGGGUGAGUAACACGUGGAUACCCUCCUUAUAAUACUGGUAUAACUUCGGGACACCGGAUCUAAUCGCGUAUAACAUUGUGAACCGUAUGGUUGAGUAGUGAAAUACGGUUUUGGUGUCACUUCUAGAUGGAUCCGCGCGGUAUUAGCUAGUUGGUAAGGUAAAGGCUUACCAAGGCACCGUGGCGUAGCCGACCGGCGAGGGUGAUCGGCCACGCUAGAACGGACACACGGUCCAGACUCCUACGAGAGGCAGCAGUAGGGCAGGUGGCGCCAGGGGCGAAAGCCUGACGAAGCGAGGCAGCGUGAGGGAUCGAGGUCGUGGGAGCGUAAAACUCUGUUAUUAGGGAAGAACCAAUGUCUAAGGAACAAUCGUCGUCGUGACGGUACCUAGUCAGGAAGCAACGGCUAACUACGUG
rnacentral:rRNA from 1 species